UGCUGUACUAUUACACAUUGCUGUACUAUGU
rnacentral:piRNA from 1 species